rnacentral:rRNA from 1 species
CACGUAGGGCGCAAGCGUUGUCCGGAAUUAUUGGGCGUAAAGAGCUUGUAGGCGGUUUGUCGCGUCUGCUGUGAAAAUCCGGGGCUCAACCCCGGACUUGCAGUGGGUACGGGCAGACUAGAGUGUGGUAGGGGAGACUGGAAUUCCUGGUGUAGCGGUGAAAUGCGCAGAUAUCAGGAGGAACACCGAUGGCGAAGGCAGGUCUCUGGGCCACUACUGACGCUGAGAAGCGAAAGCAUGGGGAGCGAACAGG